AAAUGACCAUUAAGAAGUAGAUGCCCAGAUGCCAAAGUAAUGAAACAGUCAAUUUGUCAUAAGAUGCAGCUGUGGCUUUUCAACCAGAUUAGGACAAAAUUGUAUCUGUUUUUCUCAGAAGAGAAUUCCACAAGGACAGGUUUUCUUCAGUCCUUAAGGAUUCAGCUCCUUACAUGGGCUUUGGCAGAGGUCAUGAGGCAGCAUCUAUUGAUUUUACAAGAAGUUUGUUAGUGGACUGCCAGAACAGCUGUGUGAGGACACAUCAACCAUGACUGCAUUUGAUAUGAAACAUAAAAACUUGGUUAGGAUUCUUGACCUUAAGUUUUUUCUUUUGAGAAAGGUGAUACUGGUAGCACCUUUGUCUUACAGAGGCUUGUGCUUUCCUUGAGUAUUGCAGCUUGCUUUUUCCUUGAAUCCACGGAGCUGAGUCUCCCAAAACAGCCUUAUAGCUUUCCUUUUCUGUUGAGAAAAACCUCUGAAAAGAUUCCUCUUCUCUGAGUCUGUUAACAACGAUAUGAUUUUUUUCUUCUUUUGUUUAUUAACAUGGAGAAUUACUUCAUUUUUCCUAACAUUAGACCAACCUUUGAUACCUUAUAUGUUACCGCACUCAGUUUGCUAAUAUUUUAAGAAUUUCACGCUAAUAUUCAUGAAGGAUAUCAGCCUAUAAUUUUUUUUUUUUUAUAGGCUGUGCUCUUUUUUGGAUUUUCGUGUCAAGGUUAUACUAGUCUCAAAAUGAAUCAGAGAGGGUAUCUUCUUUGGAAGUCAGAGAGGGUAACUGUUCUUUGGAA
rnacentral:lncRNA from 1 species